UGGGGAAUCUUGCACAAUGGGGGCAACCCUGAUGCAGCGACGCCGCGUGAGCGAUGAAGCCCUUCGGGGCGUAAAGCUCUUUCGACCGGAACGAUAAUGACGGUACCGGGAGAAGAAGCUGCGGCUAACUACGUGCCAGCAGCCGCGGUAAUACGUAGGCAGCAAGCGUUGUUCGGAGUUACUGGGCGUAAAGAGUGCGUAGGCGGUUUUCUAAGUUCGGUGUGAAAUCUCCCGGCUUAACUGGGAGGGUGCGCCGAAGACUGGGAAGCUGGAGUGUGGGAAAGGCAGGCGGAAUUCCUGGUGUAGCGGUGAAAGGCGUAUAUAUCAGGAGGAACACCGGCGGUGUAGACGGCUUGCUAGACCAUAACUGACGCUGAGGCACGAAAGCGUGGGUAGCAAACA
rnacentral:rRNA from 1 species